GAUGAAGAACGCAGCGAAAUGCGAUAAGUAGUGUGAAUUGCAGAAUUCAGUGAAUCAUCGAAUCUUUGAACGCACAUUGCGUCCUUUGGUAUUCCUUAGGGCAUGCCUGUUCGAGCGUCAUUUAAACCUUCAAGCUAAGCUUGGUGUUGGGUGACUGUCCGCUUCACGGCGGACUCGCCUCAAAAUUAUUGGCGGCCGGUACAUUGGCUUCGAGCGCAGCAGAAACGCGAACUCGGGCCCGUCGUAUUGGCUCCCAGAAGCUAUCUUCACAAUUUUGACCUCGGAUCAGGUAGGGAUACCCGCUGAACUUAAGCAUAUCAAUAAGCGGAGGA
rnacentral:misc_RNA from 1 species